AAUUUUGUAACACUUUUAAGACAUUUUUAAAACUUAAUAUAUCCCUUAGUAAGUGUGACUAGCAAACUGACGUAUCCGAUUCUUACUAGAACCCUAGUUCCUAUUAUGACUAACGUUUUUUCAAAUAGUCUAAUUAUUGUUUCGCCCUUUCCAUAUAAGGUGUUCACCUCUAACAUUCAGUAAUACUAAUAGUAUUCAGUAAUAGUGCAUGACGAACCUUUAUUCCAAAAUAUUUAGUCAUUUGUAGUUUAUGGUAUUUUGGGGUCAGUCGAAAAUCUUAUACAUUCUGCUGUAUCAUCAUCAACAUCUAGGCAGAUAUUGGAGGGUUUCGAAAACUGUUUUAAUGCGAUUACUAAAGGCUAGAAGGGCAAAAAUUCAGUUUCACUUAUAGGAUAGGCUCUUUUUUUUAUUUUUUACUGGAGGGAAAAAUAUGUCAGAAUGUAUUUUGGUCGGGAAGCAUGUAUUUUAUUUUGUCAGGAUGUUUUCACUUUCCCCCACACUUCACCCCUUUUAGGAUAGGCAGCAGUUGGGAAAGGGACAAAAGUUGCGGAAGGGGGACCAGGAAAUACAAAACUGAAUGGGGUGAGGGGAGAAAAAUAGUGAAAAGGUUGUUUACGUCGAGCGAUAUGUGUUUACGAAUUCUCCAUAUCGGCCUUAUAGCGCAUACUCAUCCCCAUCUGUUGCUCUUAUUUACAAUUUUCCGAUUGUUUACUCGGAUUUGUGGAAAGCCAGAGAAUUUUUCGAACUAAUAUAGAAGUUCACAUACGAGAAUACGUUUGUAUUAUUUUUUUUUCGCGAGUUAUUUCUAUCGUAAGAGCGAAGAACUCGCGAGUGUUUCGAAUCAAAUAUCGGGUCAUUGACCCGUUUAGUAGCUACGCGCGAAAUGGGUAAUACGAAUAUCGAAUUUUCAGAAAAAAAAAAAGUGUUUUAUAAGGUGAACGAUCGAAAAUUAGAAAGAAGAGCAUUAAUGCUCGGGGGCCUUGUAAAAAUCAACUAUUUGUUUCUUACAAAAACUCGUUAACUUACAGACGAAGAUAGCGAAAGUUUCGUCUGACCUUGUUGAAGAGGUUGAUGACCGAAUGCGCAUGAACUCAGGUGCGUUUUGUUGAUGCACACAGUGUUAUGUUUCGUUUACCGAAGAUCCAAACUCCUUACAGACAUCGUAUAUAACUCAUUUUUAACACCCGAGAGACUCUAAAGACGUAUAAUUUGUGUAUUUAACAGAAACAGUUUGCACUCGAGUCGAGUUUUAACUGGUAAUAUUCGACCUCUUGGGAAAUCGUUGCAUAAACUUCGAACAGGCGGAGGACGACGACUGAUAUCGAAUAUUAAUCGAUGAUCGUCAUUAAAAAUCGCGUUUUCGAUGCAACAUCUUUCUCGAUCUCUGAUGUGGGAUGUUAUAAAUAGCUAGUACGAAACUAGACGAGCGCAGAGUUAGAGAGGCAAGUCAGUUCAACAGAUACGGAAGUAAAGAAAAGCGAGGUCGGGGUGAACAACCUGCCUAGAUUGGAGCUAUGUGAAAGUAGGUGAUGCAGGGGCUAGAAACAGGUUCGUUAUGACGUAAUUACGGGUGGAUUUUUAAAACAAACAGAAUAUUGUAUUACAGAAUGAUGGUAAAAAUGAGGUCGGAGGUUAACUUUUUUUUUCUCUGCUCGCUACUUCUUCCUAUAGGAUGAAAGUGGUCGAAGUUUUUGUCUAGACUUUUUCGUUUUUGUAUCUUUUUUUAUUUCCGUCGUUGCUAUUUACAGCAUUUGUGGUCUCUUUGCUUAAUAGAUUAGAUACGCAAAUUAUACGCAGUUAUCUAGUCUAGCCAAAUAUUUUUUAAAGAAGAAUUUAUAAAAUUUAAAAGGUACACAGAAAAAGAAAAAAAAAAAUACGAAGACGAAGAAAGAGAGGGGGA
rnacentral:lncRNA from 1 species